GUCCACGCCGUAAACGAUGGGUGCUAGGUGUGGGGGGUGUCGACUCCCUCCGUGCCGAAGCUAACGCAUUAAGCACCCCGCCUGGGGAGUACGGCCGCAAGGCUAAAACUCAAAGGAAUUGACGGGGGCCCGCACAAGCAGCGGAGCAUGUGGUUUAAUUCGACGCAACGCGAAGAACCUUACCAAGGCUUGACAUGCACUUGAAAAGCGUGGAAACACGCUCCCUCUUCGGAGCAAGUGCACAGGUGGUGCAUGGCUGUCGU
rnacentral:rRNA from 1 species